rnacentral:rRNA from 1 species
AGAGUUUGAUCCUGGCUCAGGAUGAACGCUGGCGGCAUGCCUAAUACAUGCAAGUCGAACGAAGUCUUUAGGAAGCUUGCUUCCAAAGAGACUUAGUGGCGAACGGGUGAGUAACACGUAGGUAACCUGCCCAUGUGCCCGGGAUAACUGCUGGAAACGGUAGCUAAAACCGGAUAGGUAUGAGGGAGGCAUCUUCCUCAUAUCAAAGCACCUUCGGGUGUGAACAUGGAUGGACCUGCGGCGCAUUAGCUGGUUGGUGAGGUAACGGCCCACCAAGGCGAUGAUGCGUAGCCGACCUGAGAGGGUGAACGGCCACAUUGGGACUGAGACACGGCCCAAACUCCUACGGGAGGCAGCAGUAGGGAAUUUUCGUCAAUGGGGGGAACCCUGAACGAGCAAUGCCGCGUGUGUGAAGAAGGUCUUCGGAUCGUAAAGCACUGUUGUAAGUGAAGAAUGCCAUAUAGAGGAAAUGCUAUGUGGGUGACGGUAGCUUACCAGAAAGCCACGGCUAACUACGUGCCAGCAGCCGCGGUAAUACGUAGGUGGCAAGCGUUAUCCGGAAUCAUUGGGCGUAAAGGGUGCGUAGGCGGUUUGAUAAGUUAGAGGUGAAAUUUCGGGGCUCAACCCUGAACGUGCCUCUAAUACUGUUGAGCUAGAGAGUAGUUGCGGUAGGCGGAAUGUAUGGUGUAGCGGUGAAAUGCUUAGAGAUCAUACAGAACACCGAUUGCGAAGGCAGCUUACCAAACUAUAUCUGACGUUGAGGCACGAAAGCGUGGGGAGCAAACAGGAUUAGAUACCCUGGUAGUCCACGCAGUAAACGAUGAUACCUCGUUGUCGACGAUACACAGUCGGGGAAUAAACGAAAGCGAUAAGUUAUCCACCUGGGGAGAACGUUAGCAAAGAAUGAAACUCAAAGGAAAUAGACGGGGGCCCGCACAAGCGGAGGAACAUGUGGUUUAAUUCGAUGAUACGCGAGGAACCUUACCCGGGCUUGAAAGUUAGUGACGAUUCUUGAAAGAGGAUUUCCCUUCGGGGCGCGAAACUAGGUGCUGCAUGGUUGUCGUCAGCUCGUGCCGUGAGGUGUCGGGUUAAGUCCCAUAACGAGCGCAACCCCUACCGUUAGUUGCCAUCAGGUGAAGCUGGGCACUCUGGCGGGACUGCCGGUGUAAGCCGAGAGGAAGGUGGGGAUGACGUCAAAUCAGCACGGCCCUUACGUCCGGGGCUACACACGUGUUACAAUGGUAGGUACAGAGGGCAGCUACCCAGCGAUGGGAUGCGAAUCUCGAAAGCCUAUCUCAGUUCGGAUUGGAGGCUGAAACCCGCCUCCAUGAAGUUGGAUUCGCUAGUAAUCGCGCAUCAGCCAUGGCGCGGUGAAUACGUUCCCGGGCCUUGCACUCACCGCCCGUCAAG